rnacentral:rRNA from 1 species
UUAUUGGGCGUAAGAGCUCGUAGGCGGUUUGUCGCGUCUGCCGUGAAAGUCCGGGGCUCAACUCCGGAUCUGCGGUGGGUACGGGCAGACUAGAGUGAUGUAGGGGAGACUGGAAUUCCUGGUGUAGCGGUGAAAUGCGCAGAUAUCAGGAGGAACACCGAUGGCGAAGGCAGGUCUCUGGGCAUUAACUGACGCUGAGGAGCGAAAGCAUGGGGAGCGAACAGGAUUAGAUACCCUGGUAGUCCAUGCCGUAAACGUUGGGCACUAGGUGUGGGGGACAUUCCACGUUUUCCGCGCCGUAGCUAACGCAUUAAGUGCCCCGCCUGGGGAGUACGGCCGCAAGGCUAAAACUCAAAGGAAUUGACGGGGGCCCGCACAAGCGGCGGAGCAUGCGGAUUAAUUCGAUGCAACGCGAAGAACCUUACCAAGGCUUGACAUGAACCGGUAAUACCUGGAGACAGGUGCCCCGCUUGCGGUCGGUUUACAGGUGGUGCAUGGUUGUCGUCAGCUCGUGUCGUGAGAUGUUGGGUUAAGUCCCGCAACGAGCGCAACCCUCGUUCUAUGUUGCCAGCACGUGAUGGUGGGGACUCAUAGGAGACUGCCGGGGUCAACUCGGAGGAAGGUGGGGACGACGUCAAAUCAUCAUGCCCCUUAUGUCUUGGGCUUCACGCAUGCUACAAUGGCCGGUACAAAGGGUUGCGAUACUGUGAGGUGGAGCUAAUCCCAAAAAGCCGGUCUCAGUUCGGAUUGGGGUCUGCAACUCGACCCCAUGAAGUCGGAGUCGCUAGUAAUCGCAGAUCAGCAACGCUGCGGUGAAUACGUUCCCGGGCCUUGUACACACCGCCCGUCAAGUCACGAAAGUUGGUAACACCCGAAGCCGGUGGCUAACCCCUUGUGGGAGGGAGCUGUCGAAGUGGGACU